CACUUCAUAAUUAAUUGUACUAAUUUUAAAAAUCAUGUUUAAGAUUAGAGAAUUUAAGAUCUCACCUUAAGCAUUAUUAUGCAAAGUACUUUAUGUAACAAAAGGGGAGUGGUGAUGCUAGCUAGGAGACGUACGUGGCAUGUGUUAAUGAGGUGGUCACAUGAUACUAAUGAUUUGUGCUAAUUAGCAUUUUUGAGCAUGCUAGGGUUAUGUUAUUGCUAAUUAAUUAGAGCUAAUCGAUCUAUUUUCAUGUGAUAUUAUAUAGAUCUCAUAUUAUCAUCUAAUUAAUAAGGGUAAAUAUCUUAUCCAAAGAAUUGCAAUUUGCCUUUAAAUAAAUUUUAGACUUUAUUUAAUGAAAAUCUUAUGCAGCAAAUUGCUAAUGCUCUCCAACAAAAAUAUGGUGUCACCAAUUAUUUUAGGUUACAAAUUAAAGUUACAAAAUGUGCUCAUCUCCCAAGUAGAUAAUGGGUACGUAUUAGUUUGUGGCUGUGAAUUUGUAGUUGUGAGUUGGAAGAAAAUUAUAAUGCAAGCUAGGUAUAUAAGCCUUUUUUUUUUAAUAUGAAUUUUAAUUUUUUGGCUAAAUGAUUAUUUUUAUAAAUCUCAUAUUAAGAAUAUGAAGAAAGUAUGGGUCAUAAUGACGACACUAAUUUCUUCACAUUAUUAAGAUGAGAUUCAUGAAAAUAAUAAAUUUAGCCAAAAAAUUAUGAUGGGCACGAUAAUUGGUACAUGUUGCAUCCUCACCCAUAUUCAAGCACACAAUUAUAUUUUAUAAAAGUUAAGCUAGGACACGUAUGCGUAGAAUACAAUUUAAACUAAUUUCGGUAAAGAUAAAAUUUGAUAAGAAGAUAUCUACCGGAAAAUAAAACGAAUGCACAUACAUCAUGAUGUACGAAGUACAAGUACUUUAUAGUUCACACAUCCCAGUAAUAGCAGUGUUUGUUCGUUUCAACUUAUUUCAACGUACUUUGACUCAUUUAAUCAAAAAUAAGUUCAGAUCACUUCAACAAAAUUAAGCUUUCAAACAAUUUAAUACGUUGUACUACAUAUAUAAACAAGGGUCUGUUCAUUUCAACUUAAUUUAUCUUAUUUCAAUAAAAAUCAAUUCAGAUUAAAUUAAGUCAAAUAUAGUUGAACCAAAUAACACCUAAAUUAAUUUCAGCAAAUUUUUUUAGAUAAAUCCAUAAAUUAAAAUCAGAUGAAACAAAAAAUAUGCAUUUUUUUGCCCAUUUACAAUUGGACAUGCAUAUUUCCCCUCAUUUUCAUUUUUGUAAUACGAGUAGGAAAUAUUUCAUUUGAAAUUAAAAGAAAAAAAAGAGGGUGAGGUUAAUUUUUUUUUUUUUUUACCAACCUUACUUUGGGGGUUGGUGAUUUUUUUUUGCCAAAAGUUAGCAUGGUAAAAACUUCCGAGAUUUGGCAGUUAUAAACAGGGGGCCCAAAAUAGGGUUCAUUUUUCGCAAAUCGCAGUGCCGCAAAAACACCCUCUUUUAGUAUUUUCUCUCUCCUCCCAAAUCCAUGGUCGACGAAACAGAGGAGUCAUAUUCCAGACCAAUAAGUGAAUAUAAGGUGAAGAGAACAGAACGGUGUCCGGUGUUUGAAGCAAGCCAUCUUAAGUGGAAGGUAAUGCAAAUCAGGAUCUCCCCUGGGCUUGACGGGGUGAUGCACAGGGAUGUCCAAAACUGACCCUGUCCAACUGAUUUCUGACAAAAAUCAAAGCGACUCGGAAAAAUAAUAAUUCACACAUUCAAUCCGCAUAAGCAAACCCCACACAACCACAUUAUCCGAUUAUACACGACCCGUAAUUGCCCGAUGACCCGAUUUGACAGCCCUCGGGUGGAGGAGGAUGCUGCUUAAGUGAAGAUAGCCGAAGAAGGAAACAGACUUGUUCAUCCUGAUCAAGCUACUGCCUUUUAUGAUUCUAUGCACACUUACCUUACAAAUUGGAAAUCUUAUGCAUUUUUUUCCCAAUAAACUAGAGAAUUUUUUACUCCAUAUUCAUCCAAGUGGUGAUAUCCAUGUUCUGUUUAUUAUCAAAGUUUAAUUUUCAGCAAAAUAAUUAAUGUUCAAUGUAAUUAGCUACAACAUGUUCCAAUGAUAUUUUUAAUCGAAUUCAUUAAUAAAGUUACCCAAAUUUCUCUA